rnacentral:rRNA from 1 species
GACAGAGGGUGCAAACGUUGUUCGGAAUUACUGGGCGUAAAGCGCGUGUAGGCUGCUCCGCAAGUCGGGUGUGGAAGCCCUGGGCUCAACCCAGGAAGUGCACUCGAAACUGCGAAGCUCGAGUCCUGGAGAGGAAGGCGGAAUUCUCGGUGUAGAGGUGAAAUUCGUAGAUAUCGAGAGGAACACCUGUGGCGAAGGCGGCCUUCUGGACAGUGACUGACGCUGAGACGCGAAAGCGUGGGGAGCAAACAGG